CCUACGGGAGGCAGCAGUAGGGAAUCUUCCGCAAUGGACGAAAGUCUGACGGAGCAACGCCGCGUGAACGAUGAAGGCCUUCGGGUCGUAAAGUUCUGUUGUUAGGGAAGAACAAGUGCUAGUUGAAUAAGCUGGCACCUUGACGGUACCUAACCAGAAAGCCACGGCUAACUACGUGCCAGCAGCCGCGGUAAUACGUAGGUGGCAAGCGUUGUCCGGAAUUAUUGGGCGUAAAGCGCGCGCAGGCGGUUUCUUAAGUCUGAUGUGAAAGCCCCCGGCUCAACCGGGGAGGGUCAUUGGAAACUGGGAAACUUGAGUGCAGAAGAGGAAAGUGGAAUUCCAAGUGUAGCGGUGAAAUGCGUAGAGAUUUGGAGGAACACCAGUGGCGAAGGCGACUUUCUGGUCUGUAACUGACGCUGAGGCGCGAAAGCGUGGGGAGCAAACAGGAUUAGAUACCCUGGUAGUCCACGCUGUAAACGAUGAGUGCUAAGUGCUAGAGGGUUUCCGCCCUUUAGUGCUGAAGUUAACGCAUUAAGCACUCCGCCUGGGGAAUCGGUGCAGACUGAAACUCAAAGGAUUGACGGNNGAGAGNGCGAGACGACGACGAGGAGAGG
rnacentral:rRNA from 1 species